rnacentral:rRNA from 1 species
GACGAACGCUGGCGGCGUGCUUAACACAUGCAAGUCGAACGCAGUGGCGAACGGGUGAGUAACGCGUGGGUAACUACCUAUUAGAGGGGGAUAACUAUGGGAAACGAUAGCUAAUACCGCAUAAUUGUCGAUGUACCUGCGGUGUAGUGGCUAGUAGGUAGGAUAAUGGCCUACCUAGGCAAAGAUACAUAGACGAUCUGAGAGGGUGAUCGGCCACACUGGUAUGUGCAAACGGCCCCGACUCCGACGGGAGGCAGCAGUAGGGAAUCUUCGGCAAGGGGGGGAACCCUGACCGAGCACCGCCGCGUGAGUGAAUAAGGUUCUCGGAUCGUAAAGGUCUGUUGUGAAGGAAGCGGUACUUAACCAGAAAGGGACGGCUAACUACGUGCCAGCAGCCGCGGUAAUUC